rnacentral:rRNA from 1 species
CCAGCAACUUGGAAGAAGGUAUAGCAAUAGCUAAUUGUAUUAGCAAAUAGUUUUUACAAUAUCGAUUUAAUCGACUAAAAUUCUAGGUAGAUUUAUGAUGAUGACAUUAUCUAUCUAUGUGUCUUGACCAAAUUUCGUGCCAGCAGUCGCGGUAAGACGUAGGAGACUAGUGUUAUUCAUCUUUAAUAGGUUUAAAGCGUACCUAGACGGUAAUUAAAGCCUAUAUCAGGAACUUGUUUACUAGAGUUAAAUGUAAGGGUGUAUUAAAGUACUGUUGAGUGUAGAGAUGAAAUUCGUUGAUACCAAAUAAUUGGCACAGGUAGAGGCGAAAGCAUCACUUUAUGUAAUAACUGACGUUGACGGACGAAGGCUUUGUGUCGCGAACAGGAUUAGAUACCCCAGUAGUCUUAGCAGAAAAUUAUGAGUGUCAUAGGUUAGAUUUUAUUUGGUCUAUAAAUGAAAGUGUAAGCACUCCACCUCAAGAGUAAUUUGGCAACAUUGGAACUGAAAUCAUUAGACCGUUUCUGAAACCAGUAGUGAAGUAUGUUGUUUAAUUUGAUAAUCCGCAAAGAACCUUACCACAAUUUGAAUAUAAAUGAUUUAUUUUUACAAGCGUUGCACGGCUGUCGUCAGUUAAUGUCGUGAGAUAUUGGUUUAUUCCAUUAAAUUAACGUAAACCCGUACUUUAUUUUUAUAUAAAGUUGUUCAUUCGCUAUAAUGGAUGUGAUAACAGGGACUAAGACAAGUCAUCAUGGCCUAAAUAU